rnacentral:rRNA from 1 species
UACGAAGGGUGCAAGCGUUACUCGGAAUUACUGGGCGUAAAGCGUGCGUAGGCGGUUUGUUAAGUCUGAUGUGAAAGCCCUGGGCUCAACCUGGGAAUGGCAUUGGAUACUGGCAGCCUAGAAUGUGGUAGAGGGUGGCGGAAUUCCCGGUGUAGCAGUGAAAUGCGUAGAUAUCGGGAGGAACAUCCGUGGCGAAGGCGGCCACCUGGACCAACAUUGACGCUGAGGCACGAAAGCGUGGGGAGCAAACAGG